CAUAACUGCUCGCUCUCACUCACUGUAGUCUCACUGCCUAACUGCCACAGAUUUGCAAUUACAAAAUUAUUCACUUCCAAAUCCUGCGUACAAGCACCGGAAGCUGUCACAGAUUUUGCUCUUCCCAAAUACAAGUAGCCAGGUGCCAUCCAGAAGUCACAACCUGGCAUCACAGAAGCUUCCAUUGGUAGCCUGAUGGCCAACCAUUUGGGCGCUGUGCCGGAAGGCACUUGAGAGCUCUGGAAGUGUGAAUCCAUAGCGGCCCCACUAUAUUACAAAAAAAUAAAAUAAAAACAUAUCAGAUC